UACAGAGGGGGCAAGCGUUGUUCGGAAUUACUGGGCGUAAAGGCGCGUAGGCGGCCUGUUAAGUCGAACGUGAAAUCCCAAGGCUCAACCUUGGAACUGCCUUCGAUACUGAGAGUCUUGAGUCCGGGAGAGGUGAGUGGAACUGCGAGUGUAGAGGUGAAAUUCGUAGAUAUUCGCAAGAACACCAGUGGCGAAGGCGGCUCACUGGCCCGGUACUGACGCUGAGGUGCGAAAGCGUGGGGAGCAAACAGG
rnacentral:rRNA from 1 species